GACGAACGCUGGCGGCGUGCCUAAUACAUGCAAGUUGAGCGCUGAAGGUUGGUACUUGUACCGACUGGAUGAGCAGCGAACGGGUGAGUAACGCGUGGGGAAUCUGCCUUUGAGCGGGGGACAACAUUUGGAAACGAAUGCUAAUACCGCAUAAAAACUUUAAACACAAGUUUUAAGUUUGAAAGAUGCAAUUGCAUCACUCAAAGAUGAUCCCGCGUUGUAUUAGCUAGUUGGUGAGGUAAAGGCUCACCAAGGCGAUGAUACAUAGCCGACCUGAGAGGGUGAUCGGCCACAUUGGGACUGAGACACGGCCCAAACUCCUACGGGAGGCAGCAGUAGGGAAUCUUCGGCAAUGGACGAAAGUCUGACCGAGCAACGCCGCGCGAGUGAAGAAGGUUUUCGGAUCGUAAAACUCUGUUGGUAGAGAAGAACGUUGGUGAGAGUGGAAAGCUCAUCAAGUGACGGUAACUACCCAGAAAGGGACGGCUAACUACGUG
rnacentral:rRNA from 1 species